rnacentral:tRNA from 1 species
GCGCCUGUAGCUCAAUUGGAUAGAGCGACGGACUUCGGAUCCGUAAGUUGGAGGUUCGAGUCCUCUCAGGCGUG